UAUAACUCCUAGUUUCAGCAAUAUAUUGUGGUGAUUCUGUAUAUAACAAUCUUGCCAGUUAUAGAGGUUUUGUUUUUAACAAUUUGAUUGUUAUUAUGUGAUAAUCAGCAUUUUUGUAUAGUUUUUGUUUGUUGAUUUAAUUAUAAGCAAUAGAAUUAUUAAUCAUGUUGAUACCUCGACAAACUAACUGGUUCAUGUGCUCACGGCCUUCCUGUAAGAUAAUCAUAUCAGAUUUUUUGGUUUUGUUUUAUUGUGUAUAAAUAUUUGAUUUCAAACAAAAUUGUCAUUGUUAAUUGUUUAAAAUACUUGAUAUAAACCUAACUGUCAAUGUCAGUUUUCGAGAGUUUUCUAUGAAACAACCACCUCAUGUUGUUGUCUUAGCUUUGUUUUGUUAUCGAGGUAGAACCCAAGAUUAUCAAUGGCAGAAACGGAAUCACCCGAACGUCUGUGUAGGUGACGUUUUUGUUACCUGUCAAUGAAAUAUAUAAAGUUUUUUCGAUAGCUUUUGAAAUUUUCAUUACAACUUUUUCAAUUUUGAAACAUUUAUUAUAGAACAGAAAGUUUUGACAUUUUUAGGGAUAAUAUUUAGUAAAACCGAAGGAAGAACACUCAUGCAAACUAAUAGCGUCAAAUUGGCUUUAAUCGUCUGACUGAACUCAAAGGGCGAAUUCAAAAAGAAGACAACAAUAAAAACUGACGAAAUCAAAUGGUAUGAACAAAACGGGUGAAAAUAAGUGUUAUUUGUGGAAACAUUACUUGUGUUCGAUUUUUACUAGAUGAGAUGUGGUAUGAAACCUAUAUUUAUUUGGUAUUACAUUUAGACCAAUUCAUUCUAAACAUAUAGUUACUUAAAGAAGGACGUUACAAAAACCACAGUGAAGAAGAGUAUUCAUUUCCACGUAAAGAAGGAUAACUCUGCCACAUAUAUAGAUAUUGAUUUCCUUUAAAACAAAUACAUAAAGUUACAAUUUUUAAAGUAUUUUGCAAAUAUUUAUAUAGAUGAAAUCAAAUUAUUUUUAUAUUAGGAAACAAAUGCUUCAUUAUUCUAGUGUCAAAAUGAUUAUUUAAACAUUAUUCAAAGACUUUACUCAUUUAAUCGAGUAAAAAAAUACAAUAUGUAACUGACAUUUUUCUAUUAUUUACCAUUAUCCAGUAUGGUUACCUCGUUUUUUUUUAGUUUUAUGAUUUAUAACUUUGUACUUGAAGAUAUAAGAGCAAUGACUCGAAUUUGAUAGUAAAUGACUAAACUCUUCUUAGAACGUGCAUUUCAUCUCCACCAAAUUUUCGAACCACCGAAGCAGCGUCUGUAAUUUUCCUUAUUAUGUCUGUUUGUAAUUGAAAUAUAUAAAGUUAAAGUUGGUCGUUUUCAAUUCAGAACAAGGAUCUUUUAAUUUCAAUUUUGAGAGCAGUCAGCGUUUCCUUGGUAUUUGGUAUCAAGUUAAUUCAGAAAUUAUAAUGAUUAUUUAAAUUCUAACACUCAAUUGUCUACCUCUUUUCUAAGUUCAUUUAUUUAGUUACCAUACCCAAGAUUUUUGUCUUUUAUUUUGUUUAGUCACGAUCUUGAUUUUUCCGUUGCCCAAACUAUAAAAGUUUGAUUGAAUUGGGUAUUAUAUAUUAUUGUGACAUUUGAUGUAUAAAUCUAUUCUUUAAAUAUACCAUUAUUCAUCUAUGCUGAACAAACCAGUAUCUUUCCAAAUUAAACAUAUUCAAAUACAUUGAAGAGGACAACAGUUAGGUCUAUGUUAAUUUAAGACAUAAGAAACUAGGUAUAUGAGAGCAUAUUGUGUAUAAAAUUCACCUGGGCAAGUUGUGUAGAUUAUUAAAAUGAUUUUGUUAUAUGAUUAUCUAAUAUUUGCAUUUAAUGAAUGAAACAAAUCAGCUGAGAUGACAAGGCAAAGUAAAGAUGAUUCUUAUUUUAUGAAUGAUAAUGAUGCUGGUAAAUCGGCUUUGACAAUUCUGAUUCAAUUUUUUUAAGGAGGUUUGUUAAACAUUUCUUUUAUUAAAAAAGAACGUAUUUAAUUAAACAUACACUACAUUUAAUUUGUUAACGAAUUGUUCUUAUAAAACGAUGUUUUAUUCCUCAUCUUCUUACAAGUAUCUUUUGAUUAAGACAUCAAUAUUUAUUUAUUAAAAAUCACAAC
rnacentral:lncRNA from 1 species